GACAGAGGGUGCAAACGUUGUUCGGAAUUACUGGGCGUAAAGCGCGUGUAGGCGGCUCGGCAAGUCGGGUGUGAAAGCCCUGGGCUUAACCUAGGAAGUGCACUCGAAACUGCCAAGCUUGAGUUCUGGAGAGGAAGGCGGAAUUCUCGGUGUAGAGGUGAAAUUCGUAGAUAUCGAGAGGAACACCGGUGGCGAAGGCGGCCUUAGCUGGACAGCAACUGACGCUGAGACGCGAAAGCGUGGGGAGCAAACAGG
rnacentral:rRNA from 1 species